rnacentral:lncRNA from 1 species
GGGAUUUCCAGUGGGGAAGCACAGACAUUGGAGGGCUUCUCCAGUCAUUUACUGGGUCACCAUCUGCCCCCUCAAGGAAGCAGGAUCAAGACCUCCCGUGUGCCCAGCUCCGUACAUGGCAGAUAGAGGGCAGCCUCCUGGGCCAAGAGUGACCAGGGCCUUCAUCUUCUUGGCAUGGGUUCCAUCAGGAACACGUUACAACCAACUGAUGAUUUAUCCACCUUUAGAAGGGGACUGAGGCCAUCCCAAAGGUGCCCUAUAUGAACUGCAGUUUGCCCCUCAGUAAAAAUUACUUCACUGAGUUGCAAGCAGUGCAUGGUGGCACACACCUGUAGUCUCGGCUACUAGGGAGGCUGAGGCGGGACGGUCACUUGAGCCCAGAAGAUCAAGUCCAGCAUGGGCAACAUGG